AUCUAGCUAGCUUAGUUAGUUAGAGCAUGGUGCUGAUAAUGCCAAGGUUGAAGGUUUGACACCUGUAUGGGACA
rnacentral:tRNA from 1 species